rnacentral:rRNA from 1 species
GACGAACGCUGACAGAAUGCUUAACACAUGCAAGUCAACCGGAAAGGGGGUUUUUAAGUGAGGUGUGGGUGUCGCACGGGGGAGUAACGCGUAAAGAUCAUGCGUCACAGCUAUGGACAACAUUUGAGGAAGCAUGCUAAUACCUAAGAUUAUGAUACUAGCUCAUCGGAUAGGGAUGAAAGGUAUAAGCGCUGUGAGAGAGCUUUGCGUCCCAUUAGCUGGUUGGAGAGGUAACGGCUCACCAAGGCGAUGAUGGGUAGCCGGCCUGAGAGGGUGAUCGGCAACAAGGGGACUGAGACACGGCCCUAACCCCUCCGGGAGGCAGAAGUGGGGAAUAUUGGACAAUGGACCGAGAGUCUGAUCCAGCAAUUCUGUGUGCACGAUGAAGUUUUUCGGAAUGUAAAGUGCUUUCAGUUGGGAAGAAACAAAUGACGGUACCAACAGAAGAAGUGCCGGCUAAAUACGUG